rnacentral:rRNA from 1 species
AGUGAACGCUGGCGGUAGGCCUAACACAUGCAAGUCGAACGGCAGCACAGUAAGAGCUUGCUCUUACGGGUGGCGAGUGGCGGACGGGUGAGGAAUACAUCGGAAUCUACUUUUUCGUGGGGGAUAACGUAGGGAAACUUACGCUAAUACCGCAUACGACCUACGGGUGAAAGCAGGGGAUCUUCGGACCUUGCGCGAUUGAAUGAGCCGAUGUCGGAUUAGCUAGUUGGCGGGGUAAAGGUCCACCAAGGCGACGAUCCGUAGCUGGUCUGAGAGGAUGAUCAGCCACACUGGAACUGAGACACGGUCCAGACUCCUACGGGAGGCAGCAGUGGGGAAUAUUGGACAAAGGGCGCAAGCCUGAUCCAGCCAUACCGCGUGGGUGAAGAAGGCCUUCGGGUUGUAAAGCCCUUUUGUUGGGAAAGAAAAGAAGCAGGUUAAUACCCCGAUGUUCUGACGGUACCCAAAGAAUAAGCACCGGCUAACUUCGUG